rnacentral:lncRNA from 1 species
UGUGGGUGAUAUACAACAUAUUGGGAAGGUAGUCCCGAUUGCACUCGAUUAAUAGUUUGCUUAUCACAGAAGUUUUCAUGGAAAAAGACUUGGGCUAAGCAUCCAGUUUUUGGCAUCUAAAGGGAUAGAUGUAAGUGGAUGCAGGGCUUGUCCCAAUCUAGGUACAUGGAAUUUAAUAUUGAAAGGGUUCAACAUGAAUG